AGAAUUACAUUUUGUUUUUUUUACCAUAUUCUUUAUAAAGUCAGUUACAUAUCCAUAUACACGAAUUUAUUUAAAGUAGGGAACGACAUAAUUUUAAUUUAAAACCAACAAUUUUUUACUGUGUACAAAAUAUCGUUAGCAAUCGUUUUAAAUGAAGGAGAAGGGAACAACGGAGAAGAUGGCUUAAACUCAUUUUCGCGCUGCUUUUGCGACAAACUGGGCGACAAUCAAUCAAUCAAUCAAGCGAUGUAACAAUCAAGAGCCAUGAGAGCCGCACAAACGGGUCUGAUGGAAUGGGCCAAGAUAAUGGGCCAAGGCGGGCGAAGGCAUGAAAUUUAAUAAGUGUUAGGGAGCUUCCGCAUUGCCAACAACUCGCCAGAUUGAAGAUUGCAGAUUGUAGCUGGAACAAGAAGAAGCUGAAGAAAACCAACACUAAAUAGAAAGAGAAAUAGAAAUAGAAAACUCGUUUGGCCUCACACUAAAACGAAGUUAAUAGAAUAUUUAAAGGGCGUGUCAGAUUCUGAGGCGUUGCUCGGUUAUAAAAAGCUGGCAGCAGUUAAACAACAGUUAGCCAAGUUAACUGUAAUCAAUCAGUGGCCGGACUAAUGAGGGGGCAGGGGCAGCCAGAAUUUUAAUUAAAAGACAACUUCUAAGCCGCCGGAGCACAAAUAUUUUCACAAAAUUAAACAGCAAAUUGCGUAAUUCGCAGCUGCAUGAUAAUAAUCCCAAUAAACAGCAAGUGGGGCGGGGCAGCAGGCGGGGGGCCUCAGGGUAUGUAACAGUGGGGCUGGUGGAUGGAAGGGGGUUGUGUUGGUAGCUUUUUGUUUUAUGUCCUCCCUCUGGCUGUCGCUCAAUGAUUGUCGAACUGUGAACAAGUCUCUGGCAAUUAUUUUGCAGCUCAUUUAACAAAAUUUCGUUCAUCGAGAUCGAAUUGGAUUCAGAAUUUGUGUUUGGCUUUGGCUUUGGGUUUUGGCUUUUUGUGGCAAAUUAUGAAAACCACAUUUAUUACAACUGUUGUUGUGCCCACAUUGUCAUAAAUUCCAAAUAACAUUGAGCAAGUCUCAACGUGUUGGAGCACAUGUGCGAUACACUGCAAAAAAAUUACGCACCGUUACGUGAAUGGGAAAUUGUUGUUAUAUUUUUGAUAAAUUGUGUACUUAAAAUGAAAUGUUGGUUUAAAUUGUGAAGUCCGUAAGGAAUUUCUAUCGAACCAGCCUUCCUUUUUUGUUUUAUUUUUACUGCGUCCACAAAAUUGUCUCUGGGCAGUUGGCCAGGGUCAUAAGCUUCCCAGAGGCGCAGAAGACGCUGGGCAACUGCGCGUAGAGCAGAACCACGGGGCAUAUUUGUGCACACACUUACAAACACACACUCGCACACACUCGCACACACUCGCAUUAAAAUGCAAAUCACGCCGUUGGCUGCUUAUGGGCCCUGGCAAUUUGAGCCCGGCCGACAGCCAGCAGGCAGCAUACAUACGUAAUCAGAUACAGAUGCACACACGUAGAUACAAAUACAGAAGAAAAAAAGAUACUUUUAGGCACUUACGCGCACAUAAUUACGUGUUGUAUUCCUAUUGAUGUUGUAUGUGUGUGUGUGUGUUUUGUGUUGUAUCUUUUGGGCUCUAACAAGGCUGCUUGUUUAGGCCUUUGGCUUUCAGCAAGCGGUCUGAUUAUGCACUAUGUGAGCUGCCUCCAAGGAGCUAUUUUAUCUAUCAAAACAUCCGGUUAUCUAUCUUAAAUAAAAUAGCAUGAAAUGAAAUAAAUAAAACAACAAUAAAACAAUUGUCUAAUGCUCUUUUGAAUAAAACUCUUUUGAUAAGUUCAGAAACACAUUUUGGGUUCUAAUACAAAUAUAUAUUUAUAUGCACAAAUGUAUAUAUGUGCAUAUAUAUGCGUGUGUGCGUGUGUCUGUGUGUGUGUGUGAUAUUUGUCUUACCAACAGCAACAAAAAUCGCACUCAGAGCCAAAGACAAGUGCGUCAAAAUCAUCAAACAAAAGCGCAAAUGAAUGAACAGCGGGUCCCACAGAGGUGACGCUGGCGUCGUCUCAUCAUCAUCAUCAUCAUCAUCAACAUCAACAUCAUCAUCAUUGUCGUUGCCUGCUGUUGAAACAGGCCUCAAAUAUUUGCCUAAGCGGCGUGGCAUACAAUAAAAGGCAUCAGAGAAACCUUAGCUUGAGUUUGGUAUAGAUAGAUAUGAGGGCAGUUCUCUGAGUAACCAGAAUAAAGCAAAUAAAUGAUUGUGCAUAUUAGUUAAUUUUCAGCUCUAAUUGGUAUUUUUGCUUUUUUUAUGUAAUACUUUUUGCUCUGACUGAUUGACUGAUGAUUGCUGGAUGAAAGCUGGAAUUUCUUUGUUUUCCAGCUUAUCUUCUUGCAUUCCACUUUUAAAGAACUCUCUAGACGUUCAUUGGAUACCUGUUGCUCCUUCUAAUUGCUCCUCAAACUUGUUGCCACUUGUUAGUUAUUAGAAAUUAACAUAAAUUUACAAAUUCCAAGCAAUUGUGUGCGCCCAUUAUAAAGGCUGAGCAUUCUGAACACGAACAUAACUUGACCUGCCCUCGCACGUGUGUUGUGUCUAUAUUCAACAUAUGUAAGCACGCACACACACACAUAUAUAUAUAUAAAUAUGUAUAUAAAUAUAUUUAUUUUUUGUGGCUGCCUCACUUUGAGGCACUCAGCAUUUCAAAAUGGCCGCCGUUUUCUACAAGCCCCUUGAAAAUGAAAUCGAAAAGCCGCACGAGUCUGGGCGACAACCAAAUAUUGAUGAAUGUCUGUACAUGUGUAUAUAUAUUUUUCCAGCCAGGCGCCUAGCUGAGCUUCAAUUUUCCAGAUCCACAAUGUCGGCGAAAAAAAAAAAUGUUCAACGAAAUUGAAAGGCAAGCACUAAAAACCAAACAUAAACUAAAUAAAUAUUUCAACAAAAAAAAAAAAAGCUGUGCACUUCAAUUCAGUUGACAAAUGCAAAAAUAAAACGAAACACGAGCUCAACAAAAACCACUUGCAAAAUAAAUAAACGUAAUGCAAGUACACUCAAAGAAAAACACAAUUAUAAAUUCUAGAUUUGCUCUUAAGAUUUUAAGUGUACUUCAUUUUUUAAUAUUCCUAGGCAUAAAAUACUUGCUUGCGGAAUUAGCAUACUGAAAAUAGGCUUAAUUCUCAAAAGCUCCCAAAAUAAAAACUUCGUUUUGGGUAAAUUUUGACAAAGUUAACAUUUGACUUAAGUAAAAGUUGUUGGUUGUUUCUCUGAGUGUACAUGUGUAUAAAUCGCAUGCGAGUAAGAAACUUCAGCUUAAUUUUGUUUUGGCCAUAAAUGAGAGACGGCUUGGCCUUUUAUUGAUUUCUUUUUUGGUAGCUCGCUCGUAGGCGUUGCACAAAUUUUCGUACCUCCAUUUUUGUGCAUUCCCAUUUAAUGGCUGAGCUGUUGUUGUUGCCAAAUAAAAUGUCGACAAUUAAUGUCCAAUAAGUAAUUAUUUAAUAUUUUUGUGUUUUCAUAUAUCUAGCGAAUUGAUUGAUUAGACAUGUACACAAAACUAAAUGCGUUGCGCGCAUAGCAGGCAGCUUUCUGUCAGCCCGCCGACAGGGUUGCCCUCAGCAUGUGUGAAACAUUCGAAAAAAAAAAACAAGUUCAAUGCUCAAAUUGCGUUCGCCACGAAUCUUUAAUCAAAACAAUUAACGCGUAAAAGUCGUAAGAAAAAAAUAAAAACAACAACAGACAACUUGUGUUGGGCUUCAAAAAAACAACUUUCCUAAAGGUCGGUAACCGGUUUUCCACGUUUUUUUUUUGGCACGAAUCUGAUGUCUGUCGAAGGGGGCAACAUUCUGUUUGGAAUCAAUUUUGAGUGCUUCGUCUCUUUGCACGUAAUGUGCGUAAUGUGUUCUUUUGGGCCAUUAGAAGAACGUUUGGCGCUUAGCGCCUCGCUUACAUGUCCGAGUACCGUUAGCACACCGUUUUACGACAACACCUUCUGCUAGUUAAUGGUGUCUGUGUGUGGAGUGUGUGUGCUCCAAUUGAUGCAGAGACACAUGUCUGCAGCCGAAUUCAAUUUGUCUGCCACGCUGAAGUUGAACGAACCAGAAAAAGGUCGCCCCAUUGUCGCAAUGCAUAUUAUAAACAUUUCUACAUAACGAUCUCACAUUAUCAAUUUGCCAAGUUGGGAAUUUUUUUUAAUUGAAUUCAAAUUUUGUUGAAACGAAAGCCACAAAUUGGGUGAUUGGCAAUUUUUGUGGGCUGUGUGAAAUUUAAAGUAUUUGCUAUCAAUAUUUUUUGCUUAAUGUUUUAUUUGAAAUUUAAACACUUAAAUUGAUUUGAGUAUAAAGUUUUUGGCUCUUCUUGUUUUUGAAAUAUUCCAAUAUAUUUGUGUCUUGUGUAUUGGAAGUGUCUUUUAGGCCUCUUAAAUGAUAACUUUUGAAUCUUUAGAUCUGCAGCAGCCCAUGCUAAUAUUUCUGUGUCCUCAUUCGCUUAUUCAUCCUAACAAUUUAUACUCUACAUGCAGUUGGGGGGAUUUGUUACCUGCUGCUUCUUCGAAAUAUUUGCCUUUAUUUUUUUGUUGGCUGGCCUGCACAUAAAUACCUUUAUUCAUAGCCUCAUUAUCUCAUUGUCUUUUCUCUCACUUUGUUUUCACAUUACUCACUGUUCGGGCCGUUUCCUCUGUAUCUGCACUUCUUUUAGGUUGGGUUCUCUUCUAACCCAUUCGUUCGAUCGUUCGCUUUCGUUUCUCACACGCUCUUCUAAAAAUUCCCAAUUCAUUUCUCAUGCGGAGUAAGUAAUUUUUAUGAUUUAUUGUGCUUUUUAUUUAGCUUUUAUUGAUUUCCUCCUUUGCCCGUCGCCCCUCGGUUUUCCUAACUCUCUCGCUUUGUUUUCAGCUGGCUGCAGCUACUGGCUGUUGCUUCUUACCUCACCUCACUUCUCCUUACCUCACCUGCCGCAUUUUCCUGCUUUCGUUUCGUUUCUUUUGUGUACGUUUAUUUUUUUAGAGACUUUUGCAUAUUGCGCAUUUUUUGUUGCUGUUCCCAGAUUUUCCAGCUUAAAGCGACAUUUUUCGUUUUCGUUACGUUUUGGUUUCGUUUUCGCUUUAUUCGAGUAUUGUUCGCAUCACAAAUUGUAUCUGAAUCCGAAUUUAUAUCUGUAUCUGUACCUGCACCUGUAUUUGUAUCUGCAUCUGUGUGUUGUUUCCUCUUCUGUCUUUGGGCUCAGCUGGUUGCGUUUUUGUGGGCUUUGAUGGCUCAGCAUUUACAUUUCGUUUUAUAUUGAAAUUCAUUUAAGUUAUUUAUGUUUGAGCUGCGCUUUUUCUUUAUGUUUUCUUUCGAGUAAUCCUACCCCGCCCGCUCGCGACAACAAGUGGAUCGCUGAUUGACGGCCCUGAUCAGGGGAUUUUGAGUGUUUUUUAUUAUUUUAUUAUUAUUGUUAGAAAUUAGUUGUCCAUUUUGUAGCUGGUUGAGCUUAUGCAAUCGAUUUUGUCGUCUAAUUGCAUUGCACAAAUAUGUAACUAAUUAAACUGGCAUGCAAAAAGGAUUUCAGCUGAUUUAAUUAAAUUCCAAAUUGCACUAAUUGAAUGCAGCGGCUGCAUUUAAACACGCCGAUGUGUAUUAUGAUUAUGCAAUAUAUGUAUAUAUUUAAUUUUGACACUAACUAACAUUAACCCGAACAGACACUCGCUCCGACUUCAUUCAAUUGUCGGAAUUGCAUAAUUAUGUCGAUAAGGCAAAUUUACAACGAUGUGUGAUUGCCUGUGUAGGGGAGUGUGUCUCUAUACACACACAUGUUUGUGUAUGUGUGUGUGUGUGCGUUUCAAUUUGCAUUAAUUAAAAUUGACAGGCCAAAAAUGUUGCACACAGCUUGAAUGCUUGAAUGCUUGAAAACUGCUGCAACAAAGUUGGGCGAAAAGCAAUACAUUUAUUUUAUUUUAUUAAUUUAUUUUUUAUUUUUGAAAAGUUGCCUCAAGUGAAGGCACUAAAACAUAAAAUGCAGUCGCUGAUGAGGGGAAAAAGAGCUGGAAAAUAAUUAUAUGAGUGGCUUAAAUGCCUGGCAGGUUCUUUAAAAUGCGUGAAAUGGGAAAGGCCUUUAACCUGGUGUGAGAAAGAACCGGGUUUCCAGGCUGAAUGCAGUGCCUACAGCAAAUCUACUUAACUGCCUGCGUAUUGGUGAGCUUUGAAUAGACCGAAUGAAGUUUAAGGCUAGCUGUGAAAGCCUAACACGUGUGUGUGUGUGUGUGUGAGAGAUUUAGGGCUCAGAGGAGACUAACUAACCUGAUGAAAAUCAGUUACUAUGACGACAUGUCAUGAGAAAAGACAUAAUUGCUGACAAGUCAUGCAGAGUGUCUUGCAAGGCAACUGGCAUGACAGCUCGUCAAGAGCAUCUUUACCUUUGCCGACUUGCAUACCCAACUUCAAUCAGUUUUUAGGCAGCACAGCACUCAUUAAAUAUGUGAUUGUAAAUGUGUCUCAGUGUUGUUUGUGCCAGACAUCAUCGAAUAGAUCGAGCAAUCAGCAAUCAACAAAUUGAACAGGCUGCAGGAGUAUAUGUAUAUGACCAUAAUAAUUGUCAGAGCCAAAUGAAUUUUCCAAUUAACACGCCAGCUGCCUUGUUGAAAAUCCUUGUUGUUGUUGCAGCGGGUAGAGCAAAAGCAGAAAUUUGCGUGUGAAGUUGUCUCUGAGCCGGAGUCGGAGUUGGAGUCGGAGCUGGAGUCUGAAUCUGUAUCUGUAUCUGGAACUGAAUCUGGUUGAGCAAUGCAUGCUGCAGAUGCCAAAGCUAUGAAACUCGCUCAAGUUUAGCCAUGUGUGGGCUCAUUUACAACUCACUUUGUUUGCGCCACGUAUUGCUUGGAUGCAGUCAGGCCAUCGCCCACGCCAGGCUCCGGAGAAAAAGACAGAGAGAGAGAGAGAGAGAGAGAGAUUAACAAGCGAAGUGCAGCGACGGAUGCCCAAAGUCUGAAGUGUCGACAUGAAGUCUGACAGUUGCAAAUGUUGUUUGCUGCACGGGUCUACCUUGUUAUGUACCCUAAGCUCGUUUCAACAGGGUAUAUUCACAUUUGGAACGCUGGUUUUCCAAAGCAAACGCCUCUAAAUAUUGCUUGGUCGAGGAUGACAAUAGGUAGAAAUAUCAAGUUUGUUAUAAAUAUGCAGUAAAAUAAAGACACAUUCAGAAUUGUCUACUUUUUGGAUACUUCUGUCCACUUACAGGGUAUCUUUCAGUCGUUUGCACUCUGGCUCGUCUUGAUUGCUGUUUGUGGUUGCAACAACAAUAUAAAAAAAGUUGUAUUUGAAGCACUUUUUUAGCGUCAGAUAUCGCUCCAUCAGAGCUUGAGUUAUGAAAUCGCAGCAGGCCACUCGAGAUACAAGUUAUUCGGAAUGGCUCGAAUGUGUUUGUUGGCCAACAACUUUGAGUCGACCCACUGGCCGCGUCCGUGUCUGGUGGCUAUGUCAAGUUCAUAGGCAAAAUGAAGCUGAACCGAGCCGAACCGAUCUGAGCUGAGCGAACUCUUAAUGCUGUUUCACACGCGCAUCAGAGAUGCGGGAAGCCGCGGGGCGGGGCAGUCACUGCAAUGGAUGCGGCUGGCGAUGCAAUUUUAUGCGCAGACGCCUAAAUUGAAUGCGACGCGAGGCGGCAGCAAACGAGGCGUUCUGCCAAAGGGGCACAGUUUGACAGGCACUGGCAGCGGCCCACGAAUAAACACAGACACACACUCACAAUACAUAUGUAAAUAGAAAUCUCUAGGCAGCAAGGGUCAUUAACAUGCCCAACAGAGAGCAAAGAGAGCCCAACCAGGCAGCCAGGAAAAACCAAGCGAAGCAAACGGCUGGCGACAAAAGCCGUGUAAAGCAGCGAGUCAGGGUUAAAGAGCGGGCGGGUGCUGGUUAGGGAAGGAAGGCAAUUGCAUCUAGCAUAGCGCAUGAGAAUGCACAGCGCCUGUAUAAACAGACGACCCUGCCAUGGAAACGAGUCUUCUGUAAUUGUGGGUGUCUGUGGAUGCCGCCGAGCCCAGCCAAAGGGAAAGGGUUGCCAGGGGGCAGCCUGAUGUGGAGGAUUUGGCGAGUUGCCCUGCCGUUGUUUGCUCUGCUUCGCCAUGCUCUGCUGUGCUGUACGUGCUCCGGCCACAAUUUCUAAAUAGCCAAUGGAACGGGCACAGGCUCUGAAGCACUGAAGGCUGGGUUCAAUCCGGCGGGUCAGAGUUGAUUUUUGUUUACAUUUUGCAAAAGUUGAAGUUGCGAUAAAAAUGUAAAUUUCAUUAUCAAUUGCUAAAUGAAGAACUUUAAUCGACACUUAAUUUGAUAUUAUCGGCACUUGUCGGUAAAUUUGCAAAUAUAAAUUAGAUUUGAGUAUAUUCUAAUAUAUUUCACCUAAGAUUUACAGAAAAGAGUCCAUUCUAGCAUUUACUUUGACGCGAAUCAAUAAUAAUCGAUAUAUAUAUAUUGUCUCAGCUUAAAGAACAUGAUUCUAUAAAGCUUCGAAAAUCGGAGCUUUGUUAAAUAUUGGAAUGAAUAUAUAUGUAUAUUUUUAUUAAUGGCGAUUUUAAAAGCUUUACCUCGUUUCUGUUGUUACUUGAAUAUCGGCUUCCAUUUCUGGAUAUAGGCAAAUAAAUCAAGUUAUUCUAUUUAUUGUAAAACACUUGAGACUUUAUUUUUACUAAUUGCCAUAUUUUCUAUCUCUUUCAGGUAAAUAAACGGAUGUUUUUCAACAAUUUCGCGGAAUUAAGCCAGCCAAAUUGUGGGUUGGCUUAAAUAAAUAUGGCUCAUUUAUUAAAAUGCGCAGAACACGUUAAAAACGUUGCCAAAUGGCAAACAAAAGUUCGAGUAAAAAGCAUAAAAUCCAUUCGCCUUUGUUUGCUGAAAUUGCCAAGGGGCUGGCGGAGGGUCUUUUUAAUUUUUUGUUAGGUUUCGUUGAAACAUGAGACCGCACUUUACGAUGUCCAAUUUGUUAAUGUCUCUAUAGAAUGCAAUGCGCUCACUAUUCGGCUAUUACUGGGGGGCCCAGAGUUAAUGACCUUUCGAAUGGGCUUAGAAUAAACUAUCCCCAUGCUGUGUUUCGACACUUUCAUGGCCGAAACAUUUCCUGUGUCUAAUAUGGCCCAGACAUGCAACAGCCACGAGUGACUCUUCUCAUUUGGCUUGAUAGCAUUAUAUACCUAUUGGUUAGAAAAGCGGUUAUUAACUUGAUUAGUUCAGGUGAUAAACUCCAUUUGGUGCACUCGAACAAAAAUUAAACAACAGUUCCAUGAGUAGGUUCCAAUUCGUUACGUUUUGCAUCAAAAACUAUUUUGAUUUUUCUUAAAAUAUAAGUUUUAAAACGAAGUUCUUUAUUAGAUUUAAUAAAGCAUUUCAUUUCAUUUACUGGCUAAAAAGAUUUGAUCUUUACUGGAUUAUGUUCUUUACUGCGUUUUUUCUUUCAGUGUAACUUUCACUACCAAAGGGCAGCCUAAUGUUAGCUAUUAUCUGCCGGCAUUUGGUCUAGUUAAUAGUUAAUAGGUAAUAGCUUGUAGCCCGUUUGUUAAUCAGAAAGCUAGCUUCACAUAUUCCGUCAUUAUGACAUGAUUAUGCCUCGCUCACGCUCUCAGGUCAUAGAUCAGGCUAGGCGUCAAGUUCUUUAGCCAGUUUCAAUUAGCAUUCAGCUGCUGAAGAUUUCCAGCCAGUUGACAUGCAAACAGUGAGAACUGAAGGUUCUUUUAGCCAUUGAUUUGUGUGUGUGUGACUUUAGAAUUAGCAUUUCGUCUUUUGUUUGUCUUUGGGGAAACUGAAAAGGAGACGCUGCCCGGCCACACAAUUGGCUAUUUGUACAGCUUACGCUCGGCUGACUCGUAGAACUAAAUGUGGCUCUAAUGGCUUCCUAAAGUUACCAAAAUGAACUCAUUUGGCUCGUGUGCCCCCACUAGAAGUUAAGUGUUGUCAAUUAGCUCAGGUGGAGUUAAUUUUGGGGGCCACUGCAAGCAGCGGGAGGCCUUCAGAGCAUCAAUUUAUUGGAUCACUUAAGAGUUGUCGCUCGUUUAUAAAGUAAUGUGAUGGGCAACUAAAUAUCAAUUUGUCACACACAAUGUUCACAAUGUUUAAUUUAAAGUUAUAGAUAAUUAUGCUGACAGAUUUAUUGAAUGUUUUUUCGGAAAAUUAAUUCCAAGAUAUAAAUAUUUAGAAGAAAAAUAGAGCGUAAUGCUUUUCAGUUGAUUGCAAUAAUAUUGAUAUUUUCUUUUAAUAUAUUUUGUGAAGCAUUUUCAAUUUUGUAUAGUGCUUCGCCUAAUCGCCGUCAAAAUAUGUUGCGAAUUACAACAAACUAAAUAGUUCACUUUUGCUUUAGCCAACAUUUCGGGCCCACUUUGAACUACUUUUUAUGCUUUUCAUAAUAAACGAUCGUUUUAUUAUACGCUUUAUAAACGCGACAUUUCAAAAGCCAACUCCAAAUGAUUUUUUUCUUUUGUCGCGUCUUUUGGGACGCGCUCUUUUGGCAUUUUUGUCAUUUUUGGCGUUUUUGGCACUAAUUUGACAAGGUCGCUGGGUGGCUUUUGUCUCGAUGGUUGUUUAUUGAAAUCACGAACACGUUUGCGUCGAGCUCGAAGCGAAUAUAUUUGCAGCUUAAUUUUUAUUUGGGUUGUUAAUUAAGCGCAGCUCCCCUCUGCACUGCCCUUUAUCCAAAUUCUGUUCGUUGAAUUGUGGGUCUCUGUGUCUGGCUUAGCGUGUUUAAAAAUAUAUAUUUGCAUAAACAUUUGACGACUCAUCUUGGCGUCUUGACAUAGGUGCGAAAUUGUUGCUGUGAAAUCUAUUCAUAUGAAUUAGUGGGUCAUUUUUGCUGCUUGACCCCAAAUAAAUUUGUGUGGCCACUGACAGCGCAACGGAUUUCCUGUUAGAAAGGCUCUGGGAGCGUCUUUCAAAUUGAAAUUGAUUGCCGAAUUCAGUUCGUGACUGGCAAAAGGGCAGGCAAUUAACCCCGGUGUGACCAGGAUAACUGUGACCCACCUGCGACCGCUUCACUUUGAACUCGUUACGUAAAUGCCGGCUAGGAGCCGGGCUCCGCUUUAAUUAACGAGCUGGAUUCGGACGAUAAGGCAGCGACGACAAAGCUAAUUAAAUUAUAAACUAAGCCCGUGCUCUGCCGACUUAACUGAGAGCUGGGCAGAGCAACCUCCUGAAAAUGGUUAAAUAAUACGUAAAUAAAUGAGUACCCAUUUUUGAAAAACCCAGCACGAGCAGCGACUUCUCAUCCCCACCCCCAACUACAGAGGGUAGGAGGGGAGUAGUAGAAGGUGUUGGCUAGCGAACAAUAUUUCAGCAUUUUCGUGUAGAGGGAAUGGACUGAGAGCGAGGUGAUGUUGGUGUCCAGCAGGGCAAGCAGUAAUGCAACCAGCGAUGCACAGUGGAGCAAGACCUGAGAAAUGCAUAGAAAAACACACGUAGACAAGUUUUGCUCAAUUUUAACAAUGAUUAAAAGAGUACAACAUUUCAUCAUUAACGAAAAUCUGUUGGCUUUUGACAUAGUUGGCGGCGUUGGAAGUCUCGUAGGGUACAUGGUUAUUUUGGCAACUACGCCCACUGUGCACUGUGUACCAAGCACGAAUUAUGCGUUGCCAGCGAUAUGGAUAUGGACAGGCACCGACAUCCACGUCGAGCGCUUGAGGCAUUGUCAGAGCUGGGGCAAAGCUUUUGGGCAACUGUUGGCAUUCCAAUUGCGGCUUAUGCCCAUAAAUAGACUUAGGGCAAGUGGGGUAUGUGGGCGGGGGAGGGCGGUGACUUGACGUUUGUCAUAUCGAACAAAUGCGAAUGUGAUGUGACAUUCUGGCCAAAAUUAUGGACAUCUAUUUAGACAAAUGUUGCUUAAAUCGUGAUGCCACUUUAGCAGUUGCAACAAACAUAUUUAUCACUAUUUGGGAGUUAAUAAUUCUAUUAGGGUAACUCUCAGUGAUUUGUGGUCAUUAAAGCCAAAUUGCAUUGCGGCCUGCAUUCUGCCUGCAAGUGGGCUCAUUUGCAUGCGAGUGGAGAGCAUCGAGUGGCCUCUAAUAGCAGAGUACAAGAGUGCAUCCGAUGCGGGCUGGGAAAUCCACUCAGCGCUCUGGCGGCCUUUCAUUUAAUUCAAUUAAUUAGCUAGCCGUGCAGCAGCAGGCGUUUAGCAUAUACUUUUAUACCCUGCACGCAUUCAAAUGGCUGAGAAAGGGUAGAUGACUGUCGAGCACAAUGAUCCGAGCAUAAACAGAGAAGAUAUACAAAAAGGAAUUUUCCAAGCCAGCUUGGCAAAAAGAACUACAGCUAGGUACAGGGUGUCUACCAGUCCAGCCAGCACUCUGCAUUUCUUCUAAGGCUUCUUGCAGCGUGCGGCGUGUGAUGAACAUUUCCGCUGAGGUUUGCAUCUAUCUGGUUGCUCUGGCUGUUGUUGGCUGCAAUCAAAAUUAAUUAAGGCACACACAAAAUGCAACCAGCUAAGGCACUUUGCAUGUGCAGCUUCUCGGCCCCUUUUGGCGUAGCCUCUUUAUGGCUUUUUACCGCUGCUGCCGUUGCACCUGCAACUCAACGUUGUCUUUGUCUUGACAUGGACAUUUUGCCACCAGCAGCGACUGCACUUUGCUGCCAGCUGCAAUUCGAGUUGCUCAAGUUGCGCAUAAUUAAAAGUGGAAAAAACAGUUUAAACUGGCCAGGUAAUUGGCUGGAUUUAAGCGAAAAGUGAUCUAUCAGCAAAUCGUAUUGCCAUAGCUUCGCCGUGUCAUCCAAUCCGUUUACGCUUCACGUUAACUGAAUCGCCAUUUCGUGAAUUUUGGAACACAACUCGUUUUUUGGUAAUUACCACACAAAAAUAUGCUAAAAAGAUUUCUCGCAAUUUUUGUUAUUGGGCUAUUCACGUUGGCUAUUUAUUUGCCAACUUGCUUGCAGCAAAGUAAAGCUGACAUUGAUCCCACUUUUUGUUGGGUCUUAGCAGCCAUCGUUAAUACCCUUCAUGAAAGUUUUCUUGAGUUUACAAAGCAAAAAUUUAUGAUUUGGCAUGGUUAUUAGUUCUCAUUGAGUCCUAAAGACUUGUGUAGAUCUGAGCUGUGGUUUUUUUAAUGAUUGAAGAAAAUCAUUAUUUAACACACCUUCCACUCGUUCCAUUCACAAACGUUUAUCAAAUAGCUUGCCAUAAAAAUCACAAAACGAUGUCAGCAGCAGAACUUUCCCAAGCUGGAGAAAGAGUGGAGUAUUUUCUGUAAUGUAAAGUUGUGAGUGCGAGAUAGAGAGUGAGGGGAGAGAGAGAGAGAGAGAGAAUAUCAUGCAAAGUGAAAUAUAUAAUGAGCAUAAUGUUGGUGCUCGGCACGAUAAUGAUAAUGUGUGUCUAUGUGUGUAUGUGUGUGCGACGACACCUGAGAGCAGGAGGAUGACAACGGGACAGCCCCCAGUGAAAUUUGAGAAAUGUGCACAGUAAUUAAAUGCAAAGCUUCAAGCGCGACAGCAAAGUCUUCAGAUGCAAGAGAUAAUGCAUAAUUGUGCAAGACAAAAGGAAAUGGCAGCAAAUGGAAAUGCAGCAAGAACAGAGCAGCAUGCAAAAUAUGAGUAGAAGAAAAUCUAAGCGCUUGCUGCAUGCCACGUUCUCUCUGCUGCUGGCUCAAAGUAAAACGGCGUCCAAAUUAAUGACUGAGUUUCACAUGGCAAAGACUGAAGCAGCAGCAGCAGCAGCAGUAGAUGCAGACAAUUGGCCAUGGGGCGCAUGUGUGUGUGUGAAAGCGGAGGAGCUGCCGCUACAAUUGCAGAUAACUACAAUACAAGAUACAAGUGGCCAGAUACAAAAUAGAACAAGAGCAGCAGCAAAAACACAACAAAAAUAACAGCAUGUAAUGAAUGCGUGUAGGAAGCGAGCAGACGACUCGAGUCGAGACGAGACGAACAAGUGACUGGCGCUUCGAUUCACUCGCUACAGAUGCACACAACCAAAAAAAAAAAAGGUAAACAUCGCGAGUGCUAGGCGGAGAGAUGCCCUGCUAAAAAAAAAAGAGAACGACAAUUGAUAGCGUCUAGGCUCGAUAAAUAAAGAGAUCGACUUCUGAGAUCAGAUGAAGUAAAUUACGUCAAAUUAGUCCUGUCUUAAACCGGAUUCUCUUUUUGCUUUAGGUAGCGUCAGCUGAAGCUGACUGAAUCAGUAUCAGGGCUUAAGGGCAGGUCCACGGUAUCACAAGGGGCCCAGAUGUGUCGAUCAUAGUAAAUGUCACUCUAAAACAAACCUGCAGACCUUAAGAAUGUAUCUUUAGUUUGUAUACUAAUUCUGAAAGUCAAACUCUUUUUACUCCAAGAAUUCAUCUUUUAUAGGAAGUUUACAAUCAAGUUUAUCUUCAAAAUUGACAAACAAAACACACAGGUAGAUAAUUUUGAUUUUGCUCGCUUUGCCACUGCUUUGUUGCUCGACGCUUGUAAUUCUCAACAGGUUCACGCUUAGUAAAGGGGAUAAGAUGAUUUCAAUUCUGGAAUUUGCUGGUUCUGGGCCUAGCUAUACAGUUUUUUAGCAUUAGCUACCCUUUUGGGCAUUUAGCUGUAGGGCAUAGAAGACAAGGCACAUUGACUGCAACUGCAACUGCAACUGCGCUGUUUUCAAAGUAAACUUCACGUAAUUAGCGCCGUGGAAUGUUGCCAGCAGAUGCCGCCCACGCGAACAGCUUUCAAUCGGUUAAAUUACGAGCAGGUGCCAAGAAUGACGCGCCAUAUAGUAAAUAAUAGAGAACGUUAAGUGCAGUUGCAGUUACAGUUACAGUUCCAGCUACAACAGUUGUCGUUCUAUUGGCAAAAACAUUAUAUGGGCGCAUUUAAAGGAACUCUCGAGUGAUUCCCCCUUUUGUGCCUUUGUUUGCAGCGAGCACACCAAACGUGUGCUGGCUGGCAAACUGUAUUUGGGUUAGCGAUUGCUCAAAUAUUUAUGAAAGACUUACGACAGAGGCGGGCAGGUCUACAUAGGGGCCACAGAGAGGGGGCUGGCAUACAAGUUGGCUAGCUAGGGAGCAGUUUCAGAGCUCAAGUUAUUUAAAGAGGCUCCAUUUUUAAUUGUGUGUGUGCGCCUUGCAGGCAGGUCUUGUACUAUAUGCGACACUCAGAGAAAAACCCAUACGAAUUUCCAUCUAAGAAACUGUAAGCAUCCGUUGAAAGAACUUAUUUCAAGUGCACAAAGUAGUUUUGCCUUUAUUUAAAUCAAGUUUGCUUAUUUUAGUAUACUUCAUGCAUUAUUCAAGAAUAUCUUUAAUAUUUUAAAAGCUGGACUUGAACUUUCAUUCAGUAAUGGAAUUUGGAAACACAAAGUUUCGCCGAGUGCAGAAGCUCCUCAUGAAGUUGUCGGCAAAUUUGUUAUUUAUGGUAGCCCAGUCCAUUCAUCUGACAGGUAUUUAAAGCAGGCCACCCACUCAAGCUUUUUGUAGUCCAGCAAAAUAUGGCCAGGGCAAGUAGCCAAGUGGCCAAGUGGCCAAGAGACUUGCGAGCGGCUUUCACGUUGCGGAAGUGCUGCUGAGUGGGCGAAAGUGGUGCAAUUGGUGGUGCAGAUGCUGGAAAAGCAUCGAGUGGCCGUUGUCAUUUAACAAAUUGCAUUUUAAUGUCAAUGUAAAUCGUUUGGAAAACCUGUGGCAAACUCAACUUAACUCUCUUGUACUGUUUUUUUUUAAUUAUUUCAAAGUUAUCUUUGCUCUGUUUUCAGGGUGAGAGGGGGUAUAAGCUAUAUUGACCGUGUAUAAAAAAUAUAUAUAUUUUAAAGUCACAGUUUGGCUGCCACUUACAGUUACAGUUUGAGAAUCACCAGUUCAAUAAUCAAGUAAACUUACUGUGAAUUAAGAGAACACAGUCUUACUGGGCUUUCUCUCAAGUGCUGUUCAACCUUUGCCAUGAUGCUCAAACUGUAAAAACGAAAUUGUAUAUUUAACUGCGCGCGAUAUAUUUGCAAAUCCGUGAGAACCCCAUCUUACAGUAUUUUUUAUAAUCAUCCUGUAUUGUGUGCUGUUCAAACUAUGCUCUUCUCGGCUUCCCCAACCAUUCUCCGUUGUGGUAUUCCCACAAUUAUAAUAAAAUGAUAUAUUAAAAUGUUGCUCACGAUAUAUUGAGAAUUACAAUUUGCUAAACGGCCGCAAUGGAGCAAACAAUCGAUGGACACAGCGAGAUAUGCCACACGAAAUCCAUCCAAUUAAAUGUGGCCGAAUGCAACACGCUCGACACUUGCCACAAAACGUUGGGCAAAUAUUAAACCUGAAGAUCUGCCAGUCAACCAAAACAGCAAAAGCAACAGCAACAACAAUAAAGAGGCAAUCCGUUAGCGGAGGCGACACGCUGACGAUGAUAUGCAAAGUGCAGCUAAAGGGUAACCUAGAGUAGGGGUGGCAGGGGAGGAAGGGGAGUAUGCUUGCAGCAAAAAACAAAAGGCGCACAUGUGGCACAAAUACAUGCUGAGUGAUGAUUUGGACGGAGGGGCGGUGGGGCGAUGGGUCGGGGCAGUGGCAACAGCGACAGUCGCUGUCACGUGGGAAAUUUUCAAGUUCAAAGCAAUUUUCCAAAGAAGAAGCAACUGUAAAAAGAAGAAGGCAAUAACAACAACAAGAGCUACAACAAAGCCUGCACUCACGUGAGGCUGAUAUUAAUCGGCUUUUGGAAUCGUGCGGCGGCCCAACGUGGAGGCACAAAAUGCCAACACAGACACCACAGCAAAAUACUUGAAGCCAAUUCUAAUACUUGAACAAAUGCUGAUGCACUUGGUCUGACUGCUGCGGAAGCGACGGCUAAACAGGUUGACAACAGCAAUAACAAAAACAACAACAGCGAGUACAGCAAAUGCAGAAAAAUACCACAAACAAUUGCAACAGCUGAGGGCUAGAGAUGAGACCGUGACAGACACAACAGGGUCGUUGGUAGCGUGAGUUUUGAUUUGAAAACUGAAUUGAGUUGUGAAUUCUUGAUAUAUAUGCUUAUAUUUUAUAUAUCAGAUAUCAGACAAACACUAAAAGCGUAUAUAGAUAAAGGAAUCUGAGUCAGAGUAAGUAAGCGUACUACGAAUACUUUUGGCAUACUCAAUGAGUCAUUGCAAAUUUUGGCUGCACGAAAUUCCGGAAAGUACUUCACCAUGACCAGAAUUUAAUCAUAAGUGAGCAGAUUCUGCAAUUAGUUAACGCCUCUGUAAUUUCUUAUGGAACUGUUUGAUACGAGUUCUUAGGAAAAAAGUAGGGGAAAUUAUAUUAAAGGAACAUUAUGAAACUCUAAAGCCCAUUUUCCUUACAGUCCCGUAGUGCAUCAUUAUUACUUUGUUCAUAUUUAGGAAACGUACAUCUACUGCACCCAAAAUUUAUGUGGCACCGCCACAGCCCACCCAUAAGUACCCGUGAUUGCAACUCACGCGUGCAACUCUUCUCUGGCGUGAUUAGAACUCUUGACUUCCUCGGCAGCUAUCCAUCAGAGCUGGCAGCGGCUCUUCACUCUCGCUGCUGGCUGUGGCCUGUAGCUCCGGCAGCCGCGUCUCGUCUGUUGCAAGCCCCGCCCUGCGAUUGCUUGGCUACUGUUUAAUGGCCACCCCAGCGGGCAGCAUACCGUGUGGCAUACCAACAGUUAGAAUUAAUUGACGUUAAUAAUGUACCGAUAUCAAGAUUUAUGCCAAGAGUCUUCAUCAGCCAACUAGCUACUGUUCAGGUUGGUUCUAUUCUAUUCUAUUUGCUGGGCCAUUCCGCGACUUGACGACAGGUUUGAGUGCUGCGAAUUCUCUGCGUCAUGUGCUUGGGCUGAGUGGAGUUUGCGUUGGUCCAUUGCAACGGUGCUUCGCCAGGCCCCAAGCAGCAGAAGCCCCAUCAAUUUUACAGCUGCUUCUUUGUGUCAGCAUUUUGCAUUUACCAGCUACAAUUUCCCAUUUCCCAUUCACGUGAAAAGUGGAAAAGUCUCUGCUAAACUCUACAACGAUAAUCGCAGUUGACAAUUUGUCGUACGCUCGGGUCAUAAUUUAGUCGCUGUUGGCUCAUAAACAUUUCUCAGCUCGAUGACUGACGUUAACAUGGAAUUUUAUGAUACUGCCUGCGCCUCUACAAAUCUUGAUACAUGGCAGAACAUCAGCUCUUUAGGUUAAGCUAUGUUAAAGAUCGGAGAAAUAUAUGUAAUAAUCUUCAAGCAACAGUCAGAAAUCAAUAUGAUUGCACAGAGAGCACAUAAUAUAUAAGUAGUUGUUGCAAUACUUUUCUUCUAUGAGAAACCAAGAACUAGUCAAAACUAUAUUAUUUGAAGGUGUGUCGCGCUUCUUCUUCUUUGUUGCUACCGUCUGGGCCCCAAGAGUCCGUUGUGAGCCACAGUUAAUUCAUGAACAGCUGUUGAGGGCCUAAUAGAAUCAGGCACUUUGUGUGGACGCUGGACGGUGAGGAGAUUGCACUUCCAUGCCCGCGAGCACGUACCAGAUCGCAAUGGGUCAUAAAAAGAAGUUUACGAUGGCACAAAAACUACAACAACUAUAACGAGUAGCACACCUUAAUGUGUCAGCUUGGGGGAGGAGUGUGAAUCUAGCAGGGGGCAGGGCAAUUAAAAAGAACUUAGCACAUGGUCGCGACACGAGCGAUAAAUGCAAAGAGCAGCUGCCAAGUGGCAGGUUCCAGUCCAGCAAAGAGUUCAUAAAUGUCAAGUUCAGGGUUAUGGGCAAAAAAAAAAA